CAGAAAGGGACAGAGACGGCGAAGUUUGACGGUCUGGAAAGCAGAGACCAGCAGGGCUGACUGCUUGGGAGCGCCUCUCGGGAGGUCCGAGAAGAGAACCGCGAUCUGUUUCAGCACCGGGGCUCAGGACAGUUCCCAGCGGGCUCCGUUUCGGCUCCAGAACCCUGGACAGCUCCUCCAGUAGAGACGGGGUUUCACCAUGUUGGCCAGGCUGGUCUCAAACUCUUGACCUCUUCAUCCGUCCACCUCAGCCUCCCAAAGUGCUAGGAUUACGGGCGUGAGUCACUGCGCCUGGCCCAAGUCCGGAGUUUUCAACAGGACAUGGGUGUUACUGGGCCCAUGUGACAUUUGGGGACCCCAAGGCCCUGAGAAAGGCAGAAAAAUAACCCACGCAGGGACUCUCAGCCCACAAGUGAAGCUGUAAGUCAACCCCACCAGUCCAACUCCAAAUCCCCUGUCUCUGACAUGCCUGGGUGGGAGGUGAGCCCUUGGAGAUCAGACCCUGCUUCUCUCCAGGAGAACCGGGAAUGGAAAACAGGGAGGCAGCACAGAGGCAGGAAACUCAGGUGUCACAGCUUGGCUCAGCUUGGAAUGCACUCCCUCCACCUCCACCCAGAGCUCCCCACAACUGACCCUGCCUUCUCCUGCAAGCUCCAUUUCAUCAAGGGAAAGGAUCCUUAUUGCCUCACCAUUUCCCACGUGAAGUCUGUAUUGACAUUCUCACAGACCUGGGAUAUUGUGUCUGCAGCACAUACUCCAAUUAUUUUCAUGUUAUCUACUGACAGGUCUAUUUGUCUCCCUGUUACACUGUGAGCUCCGUGAGGGCAGAAACAAUGUUAGUAUUUUCACUGCUGUGUCCCCAGUGCCUGGUCCGGGGCCCGGCACACAGCAGGCAUAUAAUAAGCAUGUGUUGAAUCAAUAAAGGCAUCAAAGAAUAAA
rnacentral:lncRNA from 1 species